GACGUAGGGCGCGAGCGUUGUCCGGAUUUAUUGGGCGUAAAGAGCUCGUAGGCGGCUCAUUGCGUCAACCGUGAAAACCAGCAGCUCAACUGUUGGCUUGCGGUUGAUACGGGUGGGCUGGAGUUCGGUAGGGGAGACUGGAAUUCCUGGUGUAGCGGUGAAAUGCGCAGAUAUCAGGAGGAACACCGGUGGCGAAGGCGGGUCUCUGGGCCGAUACUGACGCUGAGUGAGCGAAAGCCAGGGGAGCAAACGGG
rnacentral:rRNA from 1 species